CUCCCGGCUCGGAGCGGAGCCGAGCAGCUCUAACCGCGCUUCUGCCGCCUCAGCUCUUACUCUUGCCUCUUCUUUUUUUUGCUCGUCGCGGUUGUUUGUUUAUUUGUUUAUUUGCUUAAUUUGCACCUGAGAAGCUCCAGCGGCUUAAGCCGGGAAGGCAUUCUUUCUGAAAGGAGCAGGAUGGCGCCAGCCGGCUCAGUGCUUACAGACAGCUGUGGCGAGACGCAACUUAAGGAGGUUCCAGUGUCAUAAGCCCGGGGGAGGCGGAGCUUGUCCCCGCCUGAGGAGGGGACCGGCGGGGCACACCGGCCGCCCCCGCCGCGCACCCGCGGGAACCUCCUUUUUACCAACUUCUUUUCUCCCCCCGCCCCCCCUUUUUUUUUUUUUGGUUGUUUUUAUUUCUCCAUUUUUAAGGGGGAAAAUAACUUUUCCCGCUGGACGGGAAACUCUGCGAGUGGCCAGUCCUGGAAGCCAUGCGCGGAGGGGACCGGUUCGGUUGUCCCGCCGGCACACCGGGGGGUUGUGAAGAAGGACCGGACCCCACCCCCUAAAAGCGAGACCGGGCCGAGCCGGGGAUGUGCCAGCAGGUGCAGGAACCCGAGGGGGUCGAGGGGGACCGGCCACCUGAAUUUAAGCUGCACCAGCGGGUUAGAGCUGCUCCGUCUCAUAAAGGAUUUAAUGAUUAUUAUUUUCAAGGAUACAAGCGCAGAGAAACGGACGCGUUUGGAAAUAA